rnacentral:rRNA from 1 species
GUAACAUAAAGAAGCUUGCUUCUUUGAUGACGAGUGGCGGACGGGUGAGUAAUGCUUGGGAAUCUAGCUUAUGGAGGGGGAUAACUACGGGAAACUGUAGCUAAUACCGCGUAGAAUCGGGAGAUGAAAGUGUGGGACCUUCGGGCCACAUGCCAUAGGAUGAGCCCAAGUGGGAUUAGGUAGUUGGUGAGGUAAAGGCUCACCAAGCCGACGAUCUCUAGCUGGUCUGAGAGGAUGACCAGCCACACUGGGACUGAGACACGGCCCAGACUCCUACGGGAGGCAGCAGUGGGGAAUAUUGCGCAAUGGGGGCAACCCUGACGCAGCCAUGCCGCGUGAAUGAAGAAGGCCUUCGGGUUGUAAAGUUCUUUCGGUAGCGAGGAAGGCAUUUAGUUUAAUAGACUAGGUGAUUGACGUUAACUACAGAAGAAGCACCGGCUAACUCCGUGCCAGCAGCCGCGGUAAUACGGAGGGUGCGAGCGUUAAUCGGAAUAACUGGGCGUAAAGGGCACGCAGGCGGUGACUUAAGUGAGGUGUGAAAGCCCCGGGCUUAACCUGGGAAUUGCAUUUCAUACUGGGUCGCUAGAGUACUUUAGGGAGGGGUAGAAUUCCACGUGUAGCGGUGAAAUGCGUAGAGAUGUGGAGGAAUACCGAAGGCGAAGGCAGCCCCUUGGGAAUGUACUGACGCUCAUGUGCGAAAGCGUGGGGAGCAACAGGAUAGAUACCCUGGUA